CAUAGAAGAGUGGAGAAAUCGAGUUGGCCAGAUGAGGGAGAGGCCAUUAAGAGGAAUCAAAGAUCAACUCCCACUGAGGACAAAUGGACCUGUAAUUCCGGGUGUGACGAGAGAAUGAGAUUUACCUUCCUGAAUUAAAAAACAGGUCAUUAAGCUUGGGCCCUGACUCUUCUUCGUGAGAAGACUCCCUGCGACAAGGACUGUGUACUGCAUGAAUGAGGCCGAGAUAGUCGAUGUUGCUCUGGGAAUCCUGAUUGAGAGCCGCAAACAGGAAAAGGCCUGCGAGCAGCCGGCCCUGGCGGGGGCUGAUAACCCAGAGCACUCCCCUCCCUGCUCCAUGUCGCCUCACACAAGUUCUGGGAGCAGCAGUGAGGAAGAGGACAGUGGGAAACAGGCACUGGCUCCAGGCCUCAGCCCUUCCCAGAGGCCGGGGGGUUCCAGCUCUGCCUGUAGCAGGAGCCCUGAGGAGGAGGAGGAAGAGGAUGUGCUGAAAUACGUCCGGGAGAUCUUUUUCAGCUAGGGCAUAAACUG
rnacentral:sRNA from 1 species